AUUAAGAUUUAGUGGAAUUAAAU
rnacentral:piRNA from 1 species